rnacentral:rRNA from 1 species
GGUUAAGCGACUAAGCGUACACGGUGGAUGCCCUGGCAGUCAGAGGCGAUGAAGGACGUGCUAAUCUGCGAUAAGCGUCGGUAAGGUGAUAUGAACCGUUAUAACCGGCGAUUUCCGAAUGGGGAAACCCAGUGUGUUUCGACACACUAUCAUUAACUGAAUCCAUAGGUUAAUGAGGCGAACCGGGGGAACUGAAACAUCUAAGUACCCCGAGGAAAAGAAAUCAACCGAGAUUCCCCCAGUAGCGGCGAGCGAACGGGGAGCAGCCCAGAGCCUGAAUCAGUGUGUGUGUUAGUGGAAGCGUCUGGAAAGGCGCGCGAUACAGGGUGACAGCCCCGUACACAAAAAUACACAUACUGUGAGCUCGAUGAGUAGGGCGGGACACGUGGUAUCCUGUCUGAAUAUGGGGGGACCAUCCUCCAAGGCUAAAUACUCCUGACUGACCGAUAGUGAACCAGUACCGUGAGGGAAAGGCGAAAAGAACCCCGGCGAGGGGAGUGAAAAAGAACCUGAAACCGUGUACGUACAAGCAGUGGGAGCACGCUUAGGCGUGUGACUGCGUACCUUUUGUAUAAUGGGUCAGCGACUUAUAUUCUGUAGCAAGGUUAACCGAAUAGGGGAGCCGAAGGGAAACCGAGUCUUAACUGGGCGUUAAGUUGCAGGGUAUAGACCCGAAACCCGGUGAUCUAGCCAUGGGCAGGUUGAAGGUUGGGUAACACUAACUGGAGGACCGAACCGACUAAUGUUGAAAAAUUAGCGGAUGACUUGUGGCUGGGGGUGAAAGGCCAAUCAAACCGGGAGAUAGCUGGUUCUCCCCGAAAGCUAUUUAGGUAGCGCCUCGUGAAUUCAUCUCCGGGGGUAGAGCACUGUUUCGGCAAGGGGGUCAUCCCGACUUACCAACCCGAUGCAAACUGCGAAUACCGGAGAAUGUUAUCACGGGAGACACACGGCGGGUGCUAACGUCCGUCGUGAAGAGGGAAACAACCCAGACCGCCAGCUAAGGUCCCAAAGUCAUGGUUAAGUGGGAAACGAUGUGGGAAGGCCCAGACAGCCAGGAUGUUGGCUUAGAAGCAGCCAUCAUUUAAAGAAAGCGUAAUAGCUCACUGGUCGAGUCGGCCUGCGCGGAAGAUGUAACGGGGCUAAACCAUGCACCGAAGCUGCGGCAGCGACGCUUAUGCGUUGUUGGGUAGGGGAGCGUUCUGUAAGCCUGCGAAGGUGUGCUGUGAGGCAUGCUGGAGGUAUCAGAAGUGCGAAUGCUGACAUAAGUAACGAUAAAGCGGGUGAAAAGCCCGCUCGCCGGAAGACCAAGGGUUCCUGUCCAACGUUAAUCGGGGCAGGGUGAGUCGACCCCUAAGGCGAGGCCGAAAGGCGUAGUCGAUGGGAAACAGGUUAAUAUUCCUGUACUUGGUGUUACUGCGAAGGGGGGACGGAGAAGGCUAUGUUGGCCGGGCGACGGUUGUCCCGGUUUAAGCGUGUAGGCUGGUUUUCCAGGCAAAUCCGGAAAAUCAAGGCUGAGGCGUGAUGACGAGGCACUACGGUGCUGAAGCAACAAAUGCCCUGCUUCCAGGAAAAGCCUCUAAGCAUCAGGUAACAUCAAAUCGUACCCCAAACCGACACAGGUGGUCAGGUAGAGAAUACCAAGGCGCUUGAGAGAACUCGGGUGAAGGAACUAGGCAAAAUGGUGCCGUAACUUCGGGAGAAGGCACGCUGAUAUGUAGGUGAAGUCCCUCGCGGAUGGAGCUGAAAUCAGUCGAAGAUACCAGCUGGCUGCAACUGUUUAUUAAAAACACAGCACUGUGCAAACACGAAAGUGGACGUAUACGGUGUGACGCCUGCCCGGUGCCGGAAGGUUAAUUGAUGGGGUUAGCGCAAGCGAAGCUCUUGAUCGAAGCCCCGGUAAACGGCGGCCGUAACUAUAACGGUCCUAAGGUAGCGAAAUUCCUUGUCGGGUAAGUUCCGACCUGCACGAAUGGCGUAAUGAUGGCCAGGCUGUCUCCACCCGAGACUCAGUGAAAUUGAACUCGCUGUGAAGAUGCAGUGUACCCGCGGCAAGACGGAAAGACCCCGUGAACCUUUACUAUAGCUUGACACUGAACAUUGAGCCUUGAUGUGUAGGAUAGGUGGGAGGCUUUGAAGUGUGGACGCCAGUCUGCAUGGAGCCGACCUUGAAAUACCACCCUUUAAUGUUUGAUGUUCUAACGUGGACCCGUGAUCCGGGUUGCGGACAGUGUCUGGUGGGUAGUUUGACUGGGGCGGUCUCCUCCUAAAGAGUAACGGAGGAGCACGAAGGUUGGCUAAUCCUGGUCGGACAUCAGGAGGUUAGUGCAAUGGCAUAAGCCAGCUUGACUGCGAGCGUGACGGCGCGAGCAGGUGCGAAAGCAGGUCAUAGUGAUCCGGUGGUUCUGAAUGGAAGGGCCAUCGCUCAACGGAUAAAAGGUACUCCGGGGAUAACAGGCUGAUACCGCCCAAGAGUUCAUAUCGACGGCGGUGUUUGGCACCUCGAUGUCGGCUCAUCACAUCCUGGGGCUGAAGUAGGUCCCAAGGGUAUGGCUGUUCGCCAUUUAAAGUGGUACGCGAGCUGGGUUUAGAACGUCGUGAGACAGUUCGGUCCCUAUCUGCCGUGGGCGCUGGAGAACUGAGGGGGGCUGCUCCUAGUACGAGAGGACCGGAGUGGACGCAUCACUGGUGUUCGGGUUGUCAUGCCAAUGGCACUGCCCGGUAGCUAAAUGCGGAAGAGAUAAGUGCUGAAAGCAUCUAAGCACGAAACUUGCCCCGAGAUGAGUUCUCCCUGACUCCUUGAGAGUCCUGAAGGAACGUUGAAGACGACGACGUUGAUAGGCCGGGUGUGUAAGCGCAGCGAUGCGUUGAGCUAACCGGUACUAAUGAACCGUGAGGCUUAACCUU